rnacentral:rRNA from 1 species
UACGAAGGGGGCUAGCGUUGCUCGGAAUUACUGGGCGUAAAGGGUGUGUAGGCGGUUGUUUAAGUUUGGUGUGAAAUCUCCCGGCUCAACUGGGAGGGUGCGCCGAAUACUGAGCGACUAGAGUGCGGGAGAGGAAAGUGGAAUUCCUGGUGUAGCGGUGAAAUGCGUAGAUAUCAGGAGGAACACCGGUGGUGUAGACGGCUUUCUGGACCGUAACUGACGCUGAGACACGAAAGCGUGGGUAGCAAACAGG